rnacentral:rRNA from 1 species
AAUCAACGCUGGCGGCGUGCCUCAGACAUGCAAGUCGAACGCGAAAGUUUCCUUCGGGAGAUGAGUAGAGUGGCGCACGGGUGAGUAACACGUGAGUAAUUUACCUUCGGGUGGGGAAUACUAACCGGAAACGGUUGUUAAUACCGCAUAAUGCAGCGGCAUCAAUGAUGACAGUUGUUAAAGCGGGGGAUUGGAGCAAUCCGACCUCGCGCCUGAAGAGAAGCUCGCGGCAGAUUAGCUAGUUGGUAAGGUAAUGGCUUACCAAGGCGACGAUCUGUAACCGGCCUGAGAGGGCGGUCGGUCACACUGACACUGAAUAACGGGUCAGACUCCUACGGGAGGCAGCAGUCGGGAAUUUUGGGCAAUGGGCGCAA